GAAGAGCACUCCUACGGGGAGGCAGGCAGUGGGGAAUAUUGGCACAAUGGGCGCAAGCCUGAUGCAGCCAUGCCGCGUGUAUGAAGAAGGCCUUCGGGUUGUAAAGUACUUUCAGCAGUGAGGAAGGUGGAUAUGUUAAUAGCAUAUUCAUUUGACGUUAGCUGCAGAAGAAGCACCGGCUAACUCCGUGCCAGCAGCCGCGGUAAUACGGAGGGUGCGAGCGUUAAUCGGAAUUACUGGGCGUAAAGCGCAUGCAGGUGGUUUGUUAAGUCAGAUGUGAAAGCCCGGGGCUCAACCUCGGAAUUGCAUUUGAAACUGGCAAACUAGAGUACUGUAGAGGGGGUAGAAUUUCAGGUGUAGCGGUGAAAUGCGUAGAGAUCUGAAGGAAUACCGGUGGCGAAGGCGGCCCCCUGGACAGAUACUGACACUCAGAUGCGAAAGCGUGGGGAGCAAACAGGAUUAGAUACCCUCGGUAG
rnacentral:rRNA from 1 species